rnacentral:rRNA from 1 species
CGGCAGGCUUAACACAUGCAAGUCGAGGGGUAACGGGGAAGCUUGCUUCCGCCGACGACCGGCGCACGGGUGCGUAACGCGUAUACAAUCUACCUUGUACUGGGGUAUAGCCUUUAGAAAUGAAGAUUAAUCCCCCAUAGUCUCUUAGAGUGGCAUCACUUCUAGAGUAAAGGUUACGGUAUAAGAUGAGUAUGCGUUCUAUUAGUUUGUUGGUGUGGUAACGGCACACCAAGACUACGAUAGAUAGGGGCCCUGAGAGGGGGAUCCCCCACACUGGUACUGAGACACGGACCAGACUCCUACGGGAGGCAGCAGUGAGGAAUAUUGGACAAUGGAGGCAACUCUGAUCCAGCCAUGCCGCGUGCAGGAAGACUGCCCUAUGGGUUGUAAACUGCUUUUAUACAGGAAGAAACACCUCUACGUGUAGAGGCUUGACGGUACUGUAAGAAUAAGGAUCGG